AUCCCUGUAGCGCAAGGGAUAGCGCAUUGAACUUCUAAUUCAACAAUCGUGGGUUCGAAUCCCACCUGAAAUG